rnacentral:snoRNA from 1 species
ACUCCAUGGUGUGGACAUUUUUGUUGCAAAUCCUUGAAUCUUUCCCAGGCAUCAUGAAGCGUUUCGUUAUCACGUUGCUUGAAGCUAGUGAUGUCAGUUCUCAGCUU